AAACUGGAUAACAUAGGCUCGCUUGACUCUGAAUAUACUUCCUUGAGUUCAACAGGGUGCAAGGGGGUCGAAGGUUGCAACUGCGCUUCUCUCAGCUUAGCCGGCUUCUCAGCAGUCAAUACCGACGGUGAUGGAGAUGUGCCCUCUGAGGGGUGAAAAAAAAAGACCAGUUUUAAUUUAGAAAGAUAGGGUCUCAAUGGAAAGCCUGAGGAUCUGCAGCUGCCCACAAAAUGCAUACUGCGGCAAGUGAACGUGUGUCGACGCAGAAAUUGUUGACCAGAUGUCGAGCCAGAG
rnacentral:lncRNA from 1 species